GAACUUGUUGUGGUUCUUGAGUUGCUCAGUUGUGUCUGACUCUUUUCCAACUUCAUGGACUGCAGCCCUCCAGGCUCUUCUGUCCACGGGAUUUCUCAGGCAAGAAUACUGGAGGGGGUUGCCAUUUCUUUCUUCAGGGGAUCUUCUUGACCCAGGGAUUGAACCCACGUCUUCUGCAUUGGAAGGCAAAUUCUUUACCACUAAACCACCAGGGAAACCCAAAUAGGAGAACUAGGCAUCUGGAAAUUCACACCAGUGUGGAGGAGGGCAUUGGAAUUUGCACAUAUGUAUACUUGCUUACAUACAUUUGCUAUAUGCUUUCCUUAGUACAGAGGAUGAUGGUUUCAGCCAUUUUUAUUUAAAUGUUGAAAGGAUGAUCCUGUGAGGCUGGAAGACUGCAGGAUACAGAGAUAAACAAGAUAAACAAGUGGAGGAAAAUAAAAAUCCCUCUCUACCAGGAGACAAGGGUUUGAUCCCUGAUCCAGAGGAUCCCACUUGCUGUGGAGCAACUAAGCCUGCAUGCCACAACUACUGAGCCUGUGCUUUGGAGCCCAGGAGCCGCAACUACUGAGCCUACCUGCUGCAAGUACUGAGGCCAGAGUGCCCUAGAGCCCAUGCUCUGCAAGAAGAGAUGGCACUGCAACGAGAAGCCAGUGCGCAACUAGAGAGCAGCCUUCCUCUCCACAGCUAGAGAAAGCCCGCACAGCAGCAAAGACCCAGCGCAGCCAAAACUAAAGACUUACAACAACAACGACAGUAAGGAAGUGUGCUGGCACACACACCUGGAGAUCCUGAGCUGGGGGGUACCUGAGGGUUGGCUUCAGUGUUCCUCUACGUUUACUCUCUUUGGGUUGGUAUCAAGAUGGCUGCCACAGUCUCUCUUUCACCACACCCAUAUCAUAGCAAGAAAAGAGGACUCUUCCAUUCCAAGCUUUCAAGCAAAGAGACUGAAAUUGCUUCUGAUUGGAACACCGUCAUGUGUUUAUCCCUGAACCAAUGAUUGUCGCGGGGGAAUGGAAUGAAAGUACUGAUCUUCUUAAACCAUCUCCUGAGCCUGAAG
ensembl:lncRNA